rnacentral:rRNA from 1 species
AUUUUAAAUUAUUUAAUUAUUUAAUAAAAAUAAUUUUAAAAUUAAAAUUUUAAGUAAUGUUUAAAGAAAAAAUUUUAUUUAUUAUAGUAAAAUAGUAUUGUAAGAGAUUAUAUAAAUUUAGAAUUUAAUAUAAAGUAAAAUUAAUUUUUUGUACCUUGUGUAUCAGGGUUUAUUAAUAAAAAGUUAAUUAAUUAAUUUUCUCGAAUUUAAAAGAGUUAAUAAGUUAUAUUUAUUAUUGUUAAAUAAAUAUAUUAAAUAAUUUAUUAGUAAUGAAAAGUUAUUCGGUUUUAAAGUUAUCUAGUUAAUUUAGAAAUGAAUUUAAUUCAAAUAAAAAAUUUAAAUAUAUUAUUUUAGAUAAUUUAUUUAAGUUUAUUAUUAAUAAUUUAAGGGAUAAGCUUUAAAUUAAAAAUUUAAAAAUUAUAAAAUAAUUUUAAAGUUAUAAGUUUAGAAAUAUUUAAUAAUAAUAAUAUGUUAUAAUUAAUUUAAUGUAUAAUAUUAUUUUAUAUUAAUUUUAAUUUUUUAUAAAUUAAUAAUUUAAAAUUUUAUAAAAUUAGAUUUAAUGAUAAAAUUAGUAUAUAUUUUUAUUGUAUAAAUAAAAAUUUUAAAAAGAUUAUUUAAAGGAAUUCAGCAAAAAUUUUAUUCGCCUGUUUAACAAAAACAUGUCUUUUUGAAUUUAAAUUUAAAGUUUAACCUGCCCACUGAAAUUUUAAAUGGCCGCAGUAAUUUGACUGUGCAAAGGUAGCAUAAUCAUUAGUUUUUUAAUUAAAAACUUGUAUGAAAGGUUGGACGAAAUAAAUUCUGUCUUUAUUUAAUUUAAAGUAAAAUUUAAUUUUUAAGUUAAAAAGCUUAAAUAAAUUUAAAAGACGAGAAGACCCUAUAGAUCUUUAUAAAUUAAUAUAUAUAUAUAAUAUAUAAUAUAAAUUAAUUUAUUUUAUUGGGGUAAUAUAAAGAUUUAAUAAAUUCUUUAAAUUUUAAACAAAAAUUUUUGAAUUAUUUGAUCUUAAAUAAAGAUUAUAAGAUUAAGUUACCUUAGGGAUAACAGCGUUAUUUUUUUAGAGAGUUCUUAUCGAUAAAAAAGUUUGCGACCUCGAUGUUGGAUUAAAGAUAAUUUUAGGUGUAGAAAUUUAAAAAUUAGGUCUGUUCGACCUUUAAUUCUUUACAUGAUCUGAGUUCAGACCGGUGUAAGCCAGGUCGGUUUCUAUCUUUAAAAUAAAUAAUUUAUUUUAGUACGAAAGGACCAAAUAAUAUAUAUAUAUAUAUAUAUAAUUGAAUAUUAAU